GAUGAACGCUAGCGGCAGGCUUAACACAUGCAAGUCGAGGGGUAUAGUUCUUCGGAGCUAGAGACCGGCGCACGGGUGCGUAACGCGUAUGCAAUCUACCUUUUACAGAGGGAUAGCCCCAGAGAAAUUUGGAUUAAUACCUCAUAGUAUAGCAGUUUCGCAUGAAACCACUAUUAAAGUCACAACGGUGAAAGAUGAGCAUGCGUCCCAUUAGCUAGUUGGUAAGGUAACGGCUUACCAAGGCAACGAUGGGUAGGGGUCCUGAGAGGGAGAUCCCCCACCACUGGUACUGAGACACGGACCAGACUCCUACGGGAGGCAGCAGUGAGGAAUAUU
rnacentral:rRNA from 1 species